UACGAAGGGGGCUAGCGUUGUUCGGAAUCACUGGGCGUAAAGGGCGCGUAGGCGGCUUGAUAAGUCGGGGGUGAAAGCCUGUGGCUCAACCACAGAAUUGCCUUCGAUACUGUCGAGCUUGAGACCGGAAGAGGUAAGUGGAACUGCGAGUGUAGAGGUGAAAUUCGUAGAUAUUCGGAAGAACACCAGUGGCGAAGGCGACUUACUGGACACAUAUUGACGCUGAGGUGCGAAAGCG
rnacentral:rRNA from 1 species